rnacentral:rRNA from 1 species
AGUCUGGUGCCAGCAGCCGCGGUAAUUCCAGCUCCAAAAAGUAUAUAUUUAAGUUGUUGCGGUUAAAAAGCUCGUAGUUGGAUUUUGGGCGCAGGCGGCCGGUCCGUCGCAAGGCGUGUACUGGACGUCCUGGCCUUCCCUCCGGUUCUCCGCCGGUGCUCUUGACUGAGUGUCGGCGGCGGCCGGAACGUUUACUUUGAAAAAAUUAGAGUGUUCAAAGCAGGCUCUCGAGCCUGGAUAAUGGUGCAUGGAAUAAUGGAAUAGGACCUCGGUUCUAUUUUGUUGGUUUUCGGAGCGCGAGGUAAUGAUUAAGAGGGACAGACGGGGGCAUUCGUACUGUGCCGUUAGAGGUGAAAUUCUUGGAUCGGCGCAAGACGAACGACUGCGAAAGCAUUUGCCAAGAAUGUUUUCUUUAAUCAAGAGCGAAAGUCAGAGGUUCGAAGACGAUCAGAUACCGUCCUAGUUCUGACUAUAAACGAUGCCAACUAGCGAUCGGGGGGCGUUACAUUGACGACCCCUCCGGCAGCUUACGGGAAACCAAAGUCUUUGGGUUCCGGGGGAAGUAUGGUUGCAAAGCUGAAACUUAAAAGGAAUUGACGGAAGGGCACCACCAGGAGUGGAGCCUGCGGCUUAAUUUGACUCAACACGGGAAAUCUCACCCGGCCCGGACACAGUGAGGAUUGACAGAUUGAGAGCUCUUUCUUGAUUCUGUGGGUGGUGGUGCAUGGCCGUUCUUAGUUGGUGGAGCGAUUUGUCUGGUUAAUUCCGAUAACGAACGAGACUCUGGCUUGCUAAAUAGUUACGCGACCAUCCCGGUCGGCGUUUAACUUCUUAGAGGGACAAGUGGCGUUUAGCCACACGAGAUUGAGCAAUAACAGGUCUGUGAUGCCCUUAGAUGUUCGGGGCCGCACGCGCGCUACACUGACCGGAUCAGCGUGUGCUCUCCUUGGCCGACAGGUCCGGGAAACCCGUUGAACCCCGGUCGUGCUAGGGAUAGGGAAUUGCAAUUAUUUCCCUUGAACGAGGAAUUCCCAGUAAGCGCGAGUCAUUAGCUCGCGUUGAUUACGUCCCUGCCCUUUGUACACACCGCCCGUCGCUACUACCGAUUGAAUGGUUUAGUGAGGUCCUCCGAUUGGACCCGGUCCGGGCGGCGACGUCCGAGCCGGCGUCCGAGAAGAC